GGAGAGAUGACCGAGCGGUCGAAGGUGCGCGCCUGGAGAGCGCGUGUGCCCUAGGGCACCGUGGGUUCGAAUCCCACUCUCUCCGCCA
rnacentral:tRNA from 1 species